GGACAGGAAGACCUUGUGCUUAAUGUAGGCUUAAUGCUCUACCAAGGUGGUUCGCUGCCUUUCUAAUGCUACAACCCUUUAAAUACGGUUUCUUGUGCAGUGGUGACACCCCUCCCGCCACUGCCAAAUUAUUUUGGUUGCUACUUCACAACUGUAGUUUUGCUGCUGUUAUGAGUUGUAAUGUAAACGCCUGUGUUUUCUGGUGGUCUUUGGGGGACCCCUGUGGAAGGAGUCAUGACCCUCAGGUUGAGGACCACUGCUCUAGCGCAUUUACCCAGGUCACUUUUACCCUUAGCUCCUGUGUUUGUGUGUAAAUUGAGAGGGAAUAACACACCAACUCUCCAUCUCAAUGACUAAAAACCCAGCUCUAGUGUGAAGCUGAUUUGGCCCUUCUUUAAAAACAAAAAACAAAA
rnacentral:lncRNA from 1 species